rnacentral:rRNA from 1 species
UGGGGAAUAUUGCACAAUGGGGGAAACCCUGAUGCAGCGACGCCGCGUGAGCGAAGAAGUAUUUCGGUAUGUAAAGCUCUAUCAGCAGGGAAGAAGAAAUGACGGUACCUGACUAAGAAGCACCGGCCAAAUACGUGCCAGCAGCCGCGGUAAUACGUAUGGUGCAAGCGUUAUCCGGAUUUACUGGGUGUAAAGGGAGCGCAGGCGGUACGGCAAGUCUGAUGUGAAAGCCCGGGGCUCAACCCCGGUACUGCAUUGGAAACUGCCGGACUAGAGUGUCGGAGGAGUAAGUGGAAUUCCUAGUGUGGCGGUGAAAUGCGUAGAUAUUAGGAGGAACACCAGUGGCGAAGGCGGCUUACUGGACGAUGACUGACGCUGAGGCUCGAAAGCGUGGGGAGCAAACAGG